GGAUCAUUAAAGAGUUCUAUAACUCCCAAACCCAUGUGAACAUACUUAACGUUGCCUCGGCAGGUCGCGACUACCUCGUAGCACCCUACCCUGUAGGGCCUACCCGGGAGACGCGGGUCAGCCUGCCGGCGGCCUACCAAACUCUGUUUGAUAUUGAAUUCUGAACCUAUAACUAAAUAAGUUAAAACUUUCAACAACGGAUCUCUUGGUUCUGGCAUCGAUGAAGAACGCAGCGAAAUGCGAUAAGUAAUGUGAAUUGCAGAAUUCAGUGAAUCAUCGAAUCUUUGAACGCAUAUUGCGCCCAUUAGUAUUCUAGUGGGCAGGACCGUUCGAGCGUCAUUUCGACCCUUAAGCCUUGGUUGCUUAGUGUUGGGAGCCUACGGCAACGUAGCUCCUCAAAGUUAGUGGCGGAGUUGGUUCACACUCUAGACGUAGUAGAUUUUUAUCUCGCCUAUCAGUUGGACCGGUCCCCUGCCGUAAAACCCCCCAACUUCUUAAAGUUGACCUCGAAUCGGUUCAGACAAACUCGCUAAAUUGAAGCAUCUUAGUCAGCGAAGGAAAAGAAACCAACAGGGAUUGCCCUAGUAACGGCGAGUGAAGCGGCAACAGCUCAAAUUUGAAAUCUGGCCCUCGGGUCCGAGUUGUAAUUUGUAGAGGAUGCUUUUGGCGCGGUGCCUUCCGAGUUCCCUGGAACGGGACGCCUUAGAGGGUGAGAGCCCCGUACGGUUGGACACCAAGCCUCUGUAAAGCUCCUUCGACGAGUCGAGUAGCUUGGGAAUGCUGCUCUAAAUGGGAGGUAAAUUUCUUCUAAAGCUAAAUAUUGGCCAGAGACCGAUAGCGCACAAGUAGAGUGAUCGAAAGAUGAAAAGCACUUUGAAAAGAGGGUUAAACAGCACGUGAAAUUGUUGAAAGGGAAGCGUUUGCGACCAGACCCUUUUCCUAGCGGAUCAUCCGGUGUUCUCACCGGUGCACUUCGCUAGGUUUAGGCCAGCAUCGGUUUCUGUAGGGGGAUAAAAGCUCUGGGAACGUAGCUCCUCCGGGAGUGUUAUAGCCCUCUGCAUAAUACCCUUACGGGGACCGAGGACCGCGCU
rnacentral:rRNA from 1 species